rnacentral:rRNA from 1 species
AUUGAACGCUGGCGGCAGGCCUAACACAUGCAAGUCGAACGAGUGGCGGACGGGUGAGUAAUGUCUGGGAAACUGCCCGAUGGAGGGGGGUAACUACUGGAAACGGUAGCUAAUACCGCAUACCAUCGGAUGUGCCCCGAUGGGAUUAGCUAGUAGGUGGGGUAACGGCUCACCGAGGCGACGAUCCCUAGCUGGUCUGAGAGGAGGACCAGCCACACUGGAACUGAGACACGGGGCAGACUCCUACGGGAGGCAGAAGUGGGGAAUAUUGCACAAUGGGCGCAAGCCUGAGGCAGCCAUGCCGCGUGGAUGAAGAAGGCCUUCGGGUUGGAAAGUAAUUUCAGCGAGGAGGCGUUACUCGCAGAAGAAGCACCGGCUAACUCCGUGCCAGCAGCCGCGGUAAUAC